rnacentral:rRNA from 1 species
GCGAUACAGGGUGACAGCCCCGUACACAAAAAUGCACAUACUGUGAGCUCGAUGAGUAGGGCGGGACACGUGGUAUCCUGUCUGAAUAUGGGGGGACCAUCCUCCAAGGCUAAAUACUCCUGACUGACCGAUAGUGAACCAGUACCGUGAGGGAAAGGCGAAAAGAACCCCGGCGAGGGGAGUGAAAAAGAACCUGAAACCGUGUACGUACAAGCAGUGGGAGCACGCUUAGGCGUGUGACUGCGUACCUUUUGUAUAAUGGGUCAGCGACUUAUAUUCUGUAGCAAGGUUAACCGAAUAGGGGAGCCGAAGGGAAACCGAGUCUUAACUGGGCGUUAAGUUGCAGGGUAUAGACCCGAAACCCGGUGAUCUAGCCAUGGGCAGGUUGAAGGUUGGGUAACACUAACUGGAGGACCGAACCGACUAAUGUUGAAAAAUUAGCGGAUGACUUGUGGCUGGGGGUGAAAGGCCAAUCAAACCGGGAGAUAGCUGGUUCUCCCCGAAAGCUAUUUAGGUAGCGCCUCGUGAAUUCAUCUCCGGGGGUAGAGCACUGUUUCGGCAAGGGGGUCAUCCCGACUUACCAACCCGAUGCAAACUGCGAAUACCGGAGAAUGUUAUCACGGGAGACACACGGCGGGUGCUAACGUCCGUCGUGAAGAGGGAAACAACCCAGACCGCCAGCUAAGGUCCCAAAGUCAUGGUUAAGUGGGAAACGAUGUGGGAAGGCCCAGACAGCCAGGAUGUUGGCUUAGAAGCAGCCAUCAUUUAAAGAAAGCGUAAUAGCUCACUGGUCGAGUCGGCCUGCGCGGAAGAUGUAACGGGGCUAAACCAUGCACCGAAGCUGCGGCAGCGACGCUUAUGCGUUGUUGGGUAGGGGAGCGUUCUGUAAGCCUGCGAAGGUGUGCUGUGAGGCAUGCUGGAGGUAUCAGAAGUGCGAAUGCUGACAUAAGUAACGAUAAAGCGGGUGAAAAGCCCGCUCGCCGGAAGACCAAGGGUUCCUGUCCAACGUUAAUCGGGGCAGGGUGAGUCGACCCCUAAGGCGAGGCCGAAAGGCGUAGUCGAUGGGAAACAGGUUAAUAUUCCUGUACUUGGUGUUACUGCGAAGGGGGGACGGAGAAGGCUAUGUUGGCCGGGCGACGGUUGUCCCGGUUUAAGCGUGUAGGCUGGUUUUCCAGGCAAAUCCGGAAAAUCAAGGCUGAGGCGUGAUGACGAGGCACUACGGUGCUGAAGCAACAAAUGCCCUGCUUCCAGGAAAAGCCUCUAAGCAUCAGGUAACAUCAAAUCGUACCCCAAACCGACACAGGUGGUCAGGUAGAGAAUACCAAGGCGCUUGAGAGAACUCGGGUGAAGGAACUAGGCAAAAUGGUGCCGUAACUUCGGGAGAAGGCACGCUGAUAUGUAGGUGAAGUCCCUCGCGGAUGGAGCUGAAAUCAGUCGAAGAUACCAGCUGGCUGCAACUGUUUAUUAAAAACACAGCACUGUGCAAACACGAAAGUGGACGUAUACGGUGUGACGCCUGCCCGGUGCCGGAAGGUUAAUUGAUGGGGUUAGCGCAAGCGAAGCUCUUGAUCGAAGCCCCGGUAAACGGCGGCCGUAACUAUAACGGUCCUAAGGUAGCGAAAUUCCUUGUCGGGUAAGUUCCGACCUGCACGAAUGGCGUAAUGAUGGCCAGGCUGUCUCCACCCGAGACUCAGUGAAAUUGAACUCGCUGUGAAGAUGCAGUGUACCCGCGGCAAGACGGAAAGACCCCGUGAACCUUUACUAUAGCUUGACACUGAACAUUGAGCCUUGAUGUGUAGGAUAGGUGGGAGGCUUUGAAGUGUGGACGCCAGUCUGCAUGGAGCCGACCUUGAAAUACCACCCUUUAAUGUUUGAUGUUCUAACGUGGACCCGUAAUCCGGGUUGCGGACAGUGUCUGGUGGGUAGUUUGACUGGGGCGGUCUCCUCCUAAAGAGUAACGGAGGAGCACGAAGGUUGGCUAAUCCUGGUCGGACAUCAGGAGGUUAGUGCAAUGGCAUAAGCCAGCUUGACUGCGAGCGUGACGGCGCGAGCAGGUGCGAAAGCAGGUCAUAGUGAUCCGGUGGUUCUGAAUGGAAGGGCCAUCGCUCAACGGAUAAAAGGUACUCCGGGGAUAACAGGCUGAUACCGCCCAAGAGUUCAUAUCGACGGCGGUGUUUGGCACCUCGAUGUCGGCUCAUCACAUCCUGGGGCUGAAGUAGGUCCCAAGGGUAUGGCUGUUCGCCAUUUAAAGUGGUACGCGAGCUGGGUUUAGAACGUCGUGAGACAGUUCGGUCCCUA